rnacentral:rRNA from 1 species
AGCGAACGCUGGCGGCAUGCCUAACACAUGCAAGUCGAACGAGCCCUUCGGGGUUAGUGGCGCACGGGUGCGUAACGCGUGGGAAUCUGCCCUUUGCUUCGGAAUAACUCAGGGAAACUUGUGCUAAUACCGGAUGAUGUCUUCGGACCAAAGAUUUAUCGGCAAGGGAUGAGCCCGCGUAGGAUUAGGUAGUUGGUGGGGUAAAGGCCUACCAAGCCGACGAUCCUUAGCUGGUCUGAGAGGAUGAUCAGCCACACUGGGACUGAGACACGGCCCAGACUCCUACGGGAGGAAGCAGUGGGGAAUAUUGGACAAUGGGCGCAAGCCUGAGCCAGCAAUGCCGCGUGAGUGAUGAAGGCCCUCGGGUCGUAAAGCUCUUUUACCAGGGAUGAUAAUGACAGUACCUGGAGAAUAAGCUCCGGCUAACUCCGUG